rnacentral:lncRNA from 1 species
AAACCUGUGUCCCCAAUGGCACUCCUAGUGACCCUCAAAUGGACCCUAAUGCCAUCCUUUGAGAUGAAAGAGGGACUCUCAAAAACUGACCCUCUCUCAACUCUUGCCCAGCUCCUGGCACAAGACACAAUGAACCAGACUGUCAUCUGCAAGACUGUCAUCACUCUGGGUCUGCUGGUGCCUUGAUUCUGGAUUUCCCGGCUUCAUGACUGUGAGAAAUAAAUGUUUGUUGUUUAAGUUACCA